GCUGACCUGUGCUCGAGACCAACGGCCCCGGCCCCCACCCCUCCGGCCCCCACGUGAAGCCUCGAGCCAGUGUCCUGGUGGCCAGUGCCAGCUCCCCACCCUUUCUACCUGGUGACUCUGGGCAGGAAAUUGCAAGGGCCCUUGUCAUCACCACCCUUCCAGCCCCCACAGCUCGCAGGGGUCCACUCUCAACGACUGCAAGCAGGACGUGGGCUCUUUGAAGACCAAGUCGGAGGGCCCAGGGGAUUGGCAAGAUGCCCUCGGGGAAGUGAAAGAGAAGCCCCAGUCCUUUAGGACUUGAGUGUGACCACUUUUGGAAAGGUGUCAGAAAACAGACCAGGGUGCCCAGGACUGGAAAGACUUUGUCGGUUUUGGAACAUUUAAACGCCUCCGUGCUUGUUAUUUUUAUCACCCCUGGCUGCCUCCCCAUAGGGACUCCCAUGCAGCAGAGAACUCCUAGAAUGAAAAGCCUUGUGUGCGUGUGAGCUGUGGGGGACAUGGUGAAGAGGGAGCCGGGACGCUGA